rnacentral:lncRNA from 1 species
AUUUUUGGCUUGACCAGAAGCAGGAAGAACAGGAAACGUUAUUUUAAAAAGUCCCGUUUUUCACACUGCUGAUGUCUGGAGAGUCGAGAUAAGCUUUGAGUCUACUUCCAAAUCUUUGGGUGCCCCUCCAAGCGUGCUCGAAAUGGGGUGUGAAACAUAGCUUGCUGGGGUGGGAUUGGACAGUGAUCAAGAUGAGACAGAAUUGGCAGGAGGGCUUUUCUCCGUUUGGUUUCCAGGAUGAUGGAGGUGAAGCUGGAGGUUUCCCAUCCUAAUGCCUUAUCUAGGAGACAGCUCUGUGAAUACUGGCCCCAAAUGUUACUUUUCUUUUUUGUAAAUAUUAUACUUUGAGUUGUUGAGUUUUAGUGAGCCAGAGAGCACAAAAAUAAUCUUUAUUCUUGAAAUAUUUAUACAUAGAAGCAUUACUGAAAUAAGAAUGCAUGAUUCCUUGGAUUGGAUUCCAUCACUGUGACAUAAUUACUUUAUUUUUAGUUCGUAGUGCUUAAUGGAAAUGUGACAUGGAAGUGGGUGUUGGGGCAGAAACCAAGUUCUGGAAGUGAUUGGGAAUGGUUAAAACAGUGGUACAGACUUCCCCACGUCUCUACGCCCUUUUGCUCCUUUGAAAUCUCAAGUAUUUUUUUUUUUUUAAUUUUACUUGUGAAUUUAGAAAAGAUCUCUACUUAAUACAUGAGUAUUUCCAGGGGUGCCUGGGUGGCUCAGUGGGUUGGGCGUCUGAUGUCGGCACAGGUCAAGAUCUCACGGUUCAUGAGCUGGAGCCCCACAUCGGGAUCUCUGCUAUCAGUGUGAAACGCACUUUGAAUCCUCUGCCUUCCUCUCUCUGCCCCCCUCUUUAAAAUAAGUAAACGUUUUUUUAAAAUCUCUUAAAAAAUAAAAAAUAUAUUAGCAUUUUCAAGUGUGACACUAUAUUGUAGAUAUCUUAGAGCUGUCAAAGAUCUAGCAAUUACAUAUCAGGAGACAAAAUUGUGUUAUGAGUUUAGUGAAGAAAAACAUCAUAUGUAAUAAUUCAGUUUUAAAUUUGAAAAUUAUGUAUUAUAACAGACCACAUGUAUUUACCAUCUGAUAACCAAUAUUCUUUAAGCAGAAUGGAGGAAAGUUCAUACUCCAGAAACAUACAAUUCUGCAAAUAACACUGGAAGUGGUCAUUUGCUUUCUCUAAGAAUGCACAGGAUGUACGAAUAUUUUGUUUCUAGCUGUCUAGGAAUUCAUGAAACUAGAGAAGACAUUGAACACUGUUGCAUGGAAAUAAUUGAAAACAAAAAUUCAUUUGCCUCUGCUAACAUCCAGUGUCCCCUCACAACUGAAUUAGCACGUGGGUUGAUUAAGUGACUCAAUGACAACAUUUACUAAGUGGAUCCCUCAAAUAGGCCCAUGCUUAGGGCAAUCAAAAGAUUUGAAAUGAAGAACACUGUCCUACGCACCAUGGACAUUGACUCCUCACGAAAUUAAAUAUUGUUUCUAAUUUUCUCCUCAUCUUUCUACUCUUCAAACAAAAAUAGAUUUCUUUAGUGUUUCCUUAACAUAUGCACAGUCUCUGAGCUUUAACUUAAUCGUCUGUAAUGUUCUUACAUUUUCUCUGAAUUCUUGAGUUAUAUUACUAUUGGAUAGAUGGAUAGACAGACAGAUACAUAGAUAGAUAGAUAGAUAAGAUGUAUACAAGCGUAUGUGUAUGUAUGUAUGUGUGUAUGUACGUAUCUAUCUAUCUAGAGAAGCAGCUAAUGAUAAUGAAUCUUAAUAAAGCAGAAAACGAUAAACACCCAUAAGAUCAGUAGUUCCACGGAUUUAUUACCAUGGUUGGAUAAGACAGUCUCUGUAAGUAGAGGCUUAAACUUUAUCUAUUUAUGCCUUCACAAUGAAACCAUUCAGGAAUAGUCCAUAUGAAGGUCACCUUGUUCAUCACAUUAAGAGGAUAAAUUCUAGAAUUGAAGAAAAACUACAAAGUUUGCAAAAAUAUUUGAUGGCAAAUUCCUGAUUUUCAGAAGCAAGGAAAUGCUAAAGUGACAGGUUGUUGAGGGGGUUUCCUUCCCUACAAAUGCAAUCAUGUCAGCACUGUCAGCCUGGUUUACUCAAUGACUCAAGUAGCAUUUUUCUCUCUUUAUGAAUAUGAAAUACCGAUGCUAUUUAAUAAACAACUUGUGAUCAUGUGCGAUACGCAAGACAGAGAAUAAUGAGACAUAGUCCUUGUCCUGCAAGCACUGAGUCCUUACAGGACAAAAUGAGUGCACAAGAAGUCCCCCCUUCUGCAUCUGGACGUUGGGAUGGUAAAUUUGGGGAAAGGUCUCUUCAAUCAACUAUAAUUAAAGAGCUACUUGAAAUAUCACAUGAUUUGAAACAAGGCAUAAACAAAUGAAUGCGUGAACAAUAUGACAUCGUUUCGGGGAUGUUUUAUGAUCUUUCGCAUGCCUUCACAUGCAUAUGCCACAAACGUGAAAUGGGAAGAAUUAAGUUUAUGGAAAACAGAGAGUCAGGGAAGUAAUGAAUGGAACCAUCAAAUUUUCGAACGCAUCAUUUUUCUGGUUCCAUUUCACUACGCACCUUCCCAUCGGAGAAUGGCUAAGAUAAAAAGUGAUUCCAAAUUCUUAAGGCCAGUAGAAGCAGUACAAUCAUGAGAUUUUUUUUUUUAUAUUAAAAGAGGAAGAAAGGGUAGAUUCUCCUUGGUUUCAUAGCAGUCCCAUUUUUUGGAUAAACACACAAAAGUGUACCCCCCGGCAGAGUCAAAAAUGAGCUAUUACAUUUAUUUGCUUACCUUGGCGUCACUGGCAACAUGACUUAAAGGCAGUGACGUGUGGCAGAGGGAAAUCAGUAACUAGGAAUAGUUAGCUAUGCCAUGGCUCUGGUUUGAAAGGGCAAUCAUUUCAUUUUUCUUUGGUAUUUCAUGGACUCUGUCACCCUAAAUUAAAAAAAAGAGGGGAUCAAAGUGGAUCUUAAAGUUUAAUAUAUUUUGAGAACUCUUUAUUAGAGUUGCUAGCAGCCUCCAGCGCCUCCCGGUUUUAAUCCAUGGUGUCCAUUUGUGACUGUCAUAUACAUUCCACAAGAACUAAUUUGUGUUAUUUGGGGAAAGCUGUUGGAUUUAUUUACUUGGCCUUGAUUAGAUUAGAUCUGGCCAUAUCGACUGGGUCAUUGUGUUUAACUCCUUAUACUUAUGUUUUAUAACAUUAUAAUAAAAGGCUGAGAGCCUCCCCUCAGUGCCUGUUCACAAUCAUUUAUCCUUAAUGUGUCUGAAAGAAACAGAGAGAAAUGAAAGGAGACACUUUCUCAUUCAUGACUCUUUUAAAAACGGCUCCCUGUCUUCACCCCUCCCAUCCUGAUACCGCAUGCACGGCUUGUUCUCAGCCUGCUCCCAGACAAGCGAGGGCAGGCCCCAUAAUAUGAUUCAAAUUGCAAUCUCAUGUCUUGCGUCCCCCAAACACCUCAUCUCCCAUUCAACCUGGAACCUUCAUUCCAGUCCCCAAUUAGACUAACCUAUCUGCCCAGCUCCGAUUGGGGGUGAUGGAUCGGCUGGGAGGGUGGAGGGAGACGAAGAGAUUUUCUCAGCUCCUCUGCAUUCCCAUAGGCACGCAGCAUUUGACAGAUUGGGCAGAACUGCCACGAAAGAGUCUGACACAGAUGGUGUAAUUAGAAAAUGCGAAGUGCGAGUGUGAAAUUUAUCUUUGAUCAGCACCUCCUUGCCAGAUUGUCAUCUAUGUUAAUAUGAUGAUGGCUUCUUGGAGAUGGAUGGAAGGAAACAGCAGCCUUGAAGAGGAAAAGGAGACUGUUCACUCCAUACAGAAGAUAUUCUAUUUACUUCUGAAAUCCAAUCAAUUUCUACAGGCCGAAAGGAAAUUGUACUUAUUUAAUUCAUAUGGAAAACGAGCCUAACCUGAUUCAUACGCUUUAUUAAACUAUGAUCAAUAUGGUAAAAUCUGAGCUUUAGUUGGAAGGGGAGAUGUGUUAAUUUUUUAUAGAGUAAUAAAUAAAAAAAAUACAGUCUAUAACUGCAGUAGCUGUUAAAGACAAUGUUCAUCUCUCUUUAUCAAGACUAUGAAAAAUGGAUAGAAGAAAACCCCUAUACUCCACAGCAUGAAAACUUCAGAUACUACCAGUGAAGUUUUAUUUUCCACACUCCCUCCACUCUUUCUGGUCCAAAAUAAUAACUAUGAUUUUUUUUUUCCAGGGCAAAGUACACUAGCUUAUUUUCUUUGCUUUUUUAGUCUUUUUUUUCCCUUAUUUUUUCUGUAUUUAGCAAUUUAUCAAUUUAAAAAUUAACAAAAUGCAUUUCUAGUCAGGACUCUCAGAAAUUGCUGUGUUUUCACGUUAUUUUCCUGAAAAAUUAGGAAAUUUACUAUGAGGGAUAGCAAGGGUAACCAGAAAUCAUUUCUUCUAAGUUAGCUCUAUCCGACAACAGUCAUCUUUUCUUUGGAUGGCUCAGAAGGUUCAGGUUUACAAGCAACUAUGAUAGACUACAUUUUGCUAUAAUCUGCUCAAAUGUUCACAUUGAUGGUGCUAAUUUUCAGGAAGGUAAAUUAGCAUAAUUAAUGACCAGCCAAAUUUGGGGGUAAUACAGUAUGUAAUUAACAUUAGAGAGUUCUGUUGUACCACCUGCCCCCACAUUUCAUUGUUGCAGGGAUUGAACUGUACAGGAGGAAAUUUUCCCCUUUGCUGCACUGAGCAGAAAGCAGCUUUCUUCAUCAGAAUAAGCCAUUAGCUGUAAUGGCAUGUAGGUGUAAUGGAAUGUGCUCGAAACAUCUGUGCUGAGAGCAGGGGAGAAAUUGCUGCAUGCAGUCGUAGGCCUUUGGGGAGCUUGAUUAAGGGUUGCUUCAGAGAACUUGAGAUCUGGCUUGGGAUGCAAAAACAAAAAAAAAAAGGGAAAGAGAGAGAGAAGAAAGGAAAAUAAUGCUAAUAGAUUUACGGAUGUACUGCAGGGAGAACAAAGGAUUUUUAAUUUUUUUCCUUCCUUUAUUGCUCUUAUAUUGCAUCUGUUCUCUGUUGGGCUUUCACUUAUUGAAGUGAUCUGGAAAAAAUGUUGCUCUAAAUGCAGUUUAGCAGGAAAGAGCAUAGCUGUAGGAAUAAAAUAGCUUGAUUUUUUUUGUCCCUUUUGGUUUGCUAAUGGAAAGUUCCUCACAACCUGUGAAGAAAAAUUCUAAAUAUUAUUUAUGCUAAGUGUUAUCUUAACAUUCAUCUCAGGAAGUGAAACAAAUAUCCAGAUUUGGAGCUGGAAAUAAUUUCUUGUUGUUUAUCGGUCUAUACAUAGCAGUUUUUGCAAUGUAUCAACUACCCAGCUAAUUCAUUUUGAACUGCUUGAUUCAAUAUUUCCAAGAUUGCUUUGCACUUAUUUUUAAAACCCACUUUUUCCCUAAAAUUUUCAUAAACAUAUGUAUUACACGUAAUAACAUCUUAACAUCUGAGGACAAUGGGUGUAUUUUUCAACUUUGUUUAUUUUAGCAAAUACUUAUUGAGCACUUGCUAUGUGCAAAAACACCGUCCCCCUGCUGGAUGUUUGGUCAUGUUGCUGGGAAUAUGAUAAAUUACAUUUGGCAAGAGGCACAGUCAAUUGUAUCACUUCGGCCAUCUCCUUAUUGUAUGCUGACUGCUGAAGCUACAUCGAUCACACAGUGAUACACAUUGAUUGCUAAAACAACUCAAUUGAAUGCAUUGAUUCUGAUGACGUUUGGCCAUUUUAGAAGUGUUUAAAAAAAACAGCUUUUAACUACAGCCUUAAGUCAAGCCAAAAGAGAGUUAUAUUAAAUAACAGGUAAACAAAGGGUUAAACAUUUGAGAAACUAAUGUAACUGAAAGGGAAUUAGCAUUCUGCAUGGGACAGAUGUGAAUGUAUUGCCUAGAAAAUUAGAAACAAACCUGAAAAUAUUGGGUGAUUUUAUGAUUAGGUAAAUCUUAACACUUUCUAAUUAUAAAUGACAAUGAAGCACUCUCUUCGCUGGAAUCUAUCUUCCUUAUGAAAUAAGAAGCUUGCUGAGCUGAUGCCAAAAAUUCCUUGCACUGAAGUUUAAAAUAUGUAGGGAGGCAAGAAUGUAAUAAAAAUUCAAAAGCUAAUAAUAUUAUGGCGACUGGCAUUGUUUACAAUGUAGAGCACCUGCUGUUUGAAAAAAAAAAAAAAAGGAAGAAGAAAAAGUGAAAUCAUCAAACUGUUCCUAAAUGGAAAAUCUGGGCUCUCUGCCAAUUACACAAUGUGUUUCAGGUGCACUGUAAAUAGGAACAAUAAAAGGUGCAGAGGAAAGAAUAUGAAAUGUUAAAUCUCAAAUACACGAGAAUAUUAAUAUGAUGUUUCUUGAAAGAAAAUCUUGGGACUCUUCCAGUGUUCUCCUGUGGAAGGAGGGGGUUUAAAAUUUUACACAGCAUAUGUAAAGUUCUAAAACUUUUAAUUGCCUGUAUCUUAAAAAGAAUAUAUAUGAAUGCAAGACCAUUUGCUUCGGCAGCAUUGCCUUUCGUUGUUUAAGGCAGAAAGGUCCAUCUAGACCUGCAAAUGCAUGCUGCAUUUCUUCCCAACGUCUUUUUAUUACUGUGUGUGUGUGUGUGUGUGUGUGUGUGUGUGUGCGCGCGCGCGCAUAUGAGCACAUGUUUUUGUGGACGGUAGUGUGAAGAAUUAAAUCCUGAGAGUAAGAAGAGAAGGAAAAGUAGCUUCUGUUGCUUACUAUUAAAUACUAUCCACAUCAAAGUUAGCAUUAUGAGCCACUGCAAAAUAUCAGAAACAAAGGGGGGUGAGAUGUUGUAUUUCGAUCUUCUCCCUAUGAAGCACUUAAUAAUGGAUUCCUCCAGAAUUAGACACCUAUUUUUACCAGCUAACAAGUCACUCGUGCCAAAUUCCCCUUUCUAGUUUAAGUGCGUUUCCUUUUUCAUGAGGCAUUUUAAAAUCAACUCAUCUUCGGAAUGUCUAUUACAUUUUCAAACGCCAAUCUUAAAUCAAACCAAAACAUCGUCAUCAUGCAUAUCUUUUAGAAAUAACUUCGAAGGUGACACACUGUUUUACAAUGAUAACUGGAAACUAACCUUCGAGAACUGUACACCUUUCAAACACCCAAUAUUUCAGAAACUAGAAGUGAAACGAUUUUAGCUGUGCUUUUCAGACACUGGCGAUUGCUAAGAACUGAACGGUUGUGAAAUCUUUGGGUCAAAUAUUGUUUCUUUUGAGUCAGGAAACACAUGAAACUAAGCAAAACCUCCUGUCCACAUGGCAAAGGUAACCCUAUUGAUACAGAGAGAUGGGUCCUCCAAUGAGACAAAACACGUAAGAACACCCCUGCCUUUGUCUACCAACACCACCAGAAAGAUACCUGCUCUUCAAGCCUUUACUGCGUCAUCCUGAGGAUUUUAUUCAAAUUCUCAUUCCUCAUCUUUAAAAGCAGGGCAAAAUACUAACCACUUGUGUGAUUUUUAAGAAUAUUAAAUGGGAUAAUUAAGGUAAAGCACUUAGUCUAAUGACUGACACAUAGUAAGGCUUUAAAGAUUUUGCUAGUUUAGCUAGUGUUAACACUAUCACUGUUUGUGAAAUAUGCUACGUUUUCUGUAUCCCAGCUGUCAAGAUGUAAGAGGAGACAUUGCAAUUGGCCCCGUCUCGAAGGACUCCUGCAAUGGUAUAUAUGAAGAAGGAGAGCUCAGCUCUAUCAAGAGUUCUUGAAGAAUACAAGUUAGAAUUGUGAAGGACGUGGAGGAACCAGAAGAAUAGGAGGAAGCGGGCCUAUUGUCAACAAGAACCUAGAAGUGCACAUUGUAACACAGCAGAAGAUCAGAAAAUAGAAAGGUUAGGAUAUUAGAAAUAUAAGAAAAAAGAUUUAGAAAGCGAGCUUUCUUUUAGACAGACUCUUUUUGGUUCCUGAUUCUCUUACCAUCUAAGGGCCAUUGGGCAAGCAUUUUGUCUUCUGUAGCCUCAAUUUUUUAGGACGGGGGGCAUUAAUACCUACCUCACUGUGAGAACAAAAUGGCAAAACAGCCAGUAAAGUGGCUGACAAAUAGAACAUGCACACAUAUAUUCAUUCCUGUCCCUCAAAUGGUCUGUGACCUCACCUCCUUUUAAAGAUUUGUUUUCAGAACUCUACACACAUAUGUGCUCGACACAAUAUGUUAAAAUACUUCUAAUAAAAGAACUUCAGCACUUUUAAUGAGAAAACAAUCCGGAAAUAUAUUUUUUAAAUAGUUUCCUGACUAGGGUUUCAAAUAUCAGGGUUUCCUCCUGGUGCGUCAGUAUUCUCCGAUUCUACAAUCUGCAAAAAUUGCACCCCAUCUACAUAGUUCAUCCUGUAAAUAUAUUAAUAUGAUGCCGCCGGCUCGGCUUUUCCAAAUUUGAAAUUAGAGAAGCAACAAUAACAAAGAGCGAUUUUCAAGAUAGCGACAUUUUAUGAAAUGUACAGAAAUGACCAUGACAUUAUUUACUAAAGACUUCUAAGUGGGCACCUAUUUUGGAUUGAUAUUUUUGUCAAAUAAUUUAAACAGAUUGUGGCUUUGGGUACCACCUAAAUAUUUGGUGGGUACACUGGAUUGAUCCCCAGUCAACUUAUACCUAGAUUAUUAAGAUAUACUCUUAUUAGUUUCCAUCCCUUUCUCCAAGUACUUUUCAAAAUCGUCUCUCCUUAGAGGAUGGUAAUACAAUUGUCCUCCCUCUUAAAUUGUCUUGUCUCUUUGAUUUUGAAAAUCUCCACAUAAAUCAUAAUCACAAAUGUUGAACACAGUUAAAUCUUUCUUUAUUAAUAUGAUGUAUCUUUUAACUACGCUCUUCUAAAGAAAUUAGCCCAUCUACAUUAGUGCAGCUUACUGAAAUUAUCCUCAAUAUAUAUUAUCGUUUUUUAAACAUAAGGCAUAAGUUCUAAAAAGGCAAUGAUAGCAUUCAACACUUUGAGUGAAUAUGAUCUCCUAUUGAUUCUAAUGAUGGUGAUUACUUCGAUGAAGGUAUUAAACAUGGGCCACAUGUAAAGUAGAAACAAACCUCCAAGAUAAGUGAGUGAUGCAUUCUUUCUGUGGUCAGAAAAAGCAACACCCCCCAAUGCUACAAACUGGACAGAUCCCUAAUUUUUAGUCCUGUUUGCGGGACCACCUUACUAGUGACGUUGGAAUAAAGAAUAUCAGGGCAAUGUACAAUCAUUACCUGUUUAUACUGAAAGCUGUAUUGGUCACAGUAAGAAGCAAGAGAUGUUCCUUUGACUGGAUCAUAAGGACAUGUCUGAGCCUGUCUUCAUUGGAAGACAUAUGACGUAUCUUCUGUAUACGGGAAACAAUAAAAUAUUUACAUGUUUUUUAAAA